ensembl:ribozyme RNaseP_nuc Nuclear RNase P
GAUGAAAGAAACUGAAGAUGAAGUCUGAGACUAGGGCUAAAAGCAGCCCUCACAAGGUCUUCCCUGAGUUUUGGGAAGGUGAGUACCCAGAAAAUAGGGCUCUGCAGGAGGGCAGACUGGGUAGGAGAUGUCAUGGACCCCACCCUUGGGGAGUGGUCUGGUGGAUGCUUUCUUAGCCAGAGCUUGGAACAGACUCAUGGCCAGUGAGUGAGUUCAAUGGCUGAGGUGAGGUACCCUGCCUGAGAGCCUCAUAAUCCAAUUCAGACUACUCUCUCCUGUC